CCUACGGGAGGCAGCAGUGGGGAAUCUUCCGCAAUGGGCGAAAGCCUGACGGAGCAACGCCGCGUGAGUGAUGACGGCCUUCGGGUUGUAAAACUCUGUGAUCCGGGACGAAAAGGCAGAGUGCGAAGAACAAACUGCAUUGACGGUACCGGAAAAGCAAGCCACGGCUAACUACGUGCCAGCAGCCGCGGUAAUACGUAGGUGGCAAGCGUUGUCCGGAAUUAUUGGGCGUAAAGCGCGCGCAGGCGGCUUCCCAAGUCCCUCUUAAAAGUGCGGGGCUUAACCCCGUGAUGGGAAGGAAACUGGGAAGCUGGAGUAUCGGAGAGGAAAGUGGAAUUCCUAGUGUAGCGGUGAAAUGCGUAGAGAUUAGGAAGAACACCGGUGGCGAAGGCGACUUUCUGGACGAAAACUGACGCUGAGGCGCGAAAGCGUGGGGAGCAAACAGGAUUAGAUACCCUUGUAGUC
rnacentral:rRNA from 2 species